rnacentral:lncRNA from 1 species
GUAUAGCCCCUCGGAGUACUAUCCUUUCAUUAGCAAUUUGAGUGACUGUAUCAUAAAGUUUAUAUCUGUGUGUAUAUAUAUAUAUAUGUGUGUGUGUGUAUACAUACAUGUACUUGUAUGUUCAUUGCAUAUAUUUGCAUAUAUACAUAUAAGUGUGUAUGUAGAUAUGUUACAUACCUGUGUGUUCCUGACUGCAAGUUAGGUAUUAUUAUCCCCAUUAGCAAGUGAUAGAGUAUCCAUCUGAUAGUUACCUCAAGCAAUGGGAGUUUGUAUUUCUAGCUGACAGGAACUCCAGAAAGAGGAAGUUGCAGUUUCUGGUUAGGUAGCUCAGUUUUUUACAGGUUGGUAUCUGUAGUUUUCUUAGACUUUUCCUCAUGGCUUCCACAGAUCCAGGCAGCAUCCCUGAAUUCCAAGCCAGACCAAGGAAGGAGAUACACCUAUUCCAUCUGACUCUCUUGUUGGAAAGAUGGUGGACUCUACGGUUUCCCUCUGAAGUUGUGUUGGGAAGAUCAAUGUCUCCUGGCUGUCCCUUGCUGCAAAGAAGGCUGAGGAAACUUGGAAGAAACCUCCAUCCUCGGGGACUUGGAGAAGUUUGCGCUGGCAUCAGUGUGACGGUUAACCAAACUGUUCCUGCGGUGGUGGCCUGA